GAAUAAAUCCCGAGUGUGAAUAUACGUCAAGUCAUCGUGGAUUGUCUUCCUUAUUGUGUACCACAGUGUCCGGACCGGGCCUGGCGAUGUCCACAGAGAUGCAGGAACAAAGCAAAACAAAGGCGUCUGAGUGAACACGUCUGUCGAUCCAGGGUUGAGCUCAUCCACCAGGGCUCAAGGAGGACUCAUAUCUGGAUGGGGGGAGAACCCUGAUCCCGGGCUCUGCGCCUCCCUGCCAGGAACCUGGGGAGUCAGGUCGGGGUGGCCGGUCCAAGCCCGCCAUCUUGCCCUCUGGUGUUUUGCUACUGGGGUAAAAAGUGACCCUCGGAUGAGCCGAUGCUGUCACGGCAGUAACCUUUCACCCCGGGAGAUUCAGAGGGCUGUUCACAUCGCCACAAUCGUCCAGAGCUGACAUUUUUGAGCUGGCUUUGCAGGAUGUCACAGUUGGCCCCAAACGCGGCCAAUUACAAACAAACGCAGAUGCCCCAAAUUCCACCUUCACUUGAAACAGUUGGCUGACCCUGUUUUCCCCUCUGGUGAGGUUACCGCUACCUACACACGCCCCAGGCCGCCCAUAAUCCAAUCUAAGAAUCUUGCUUUCAAGGAGUGUUACCAGGAAGUGGGGGGACUGCCGACCAUAUUUCAGGGGGUGUCCAAACCUUUUCCACCUCACGUACAUACUGUACGUACACCGCUAGAUAUGCUGAGAAGGCAAAAUUGCAUCUCGCCUUUGUCAUACAGAUGAAAAAGUGGAUUAUGAGUUUGUAUUAUGACUUUUCCCCCCAUUUUUGCUAUUAUUUCAGACAUUUUUCAAGUAUUUGAAACUUUCUUCCGAUGUACUAUUGCGACUUUAUUCCCAUAAGUUAUUUGCAGAGUAGUAUAAUUUUUCCCCCUAAACUAACACAACAAAAACUGAAGCCAAUGGCACCACAAGUCACGCAUUCAUUAAACGUUCCCAUAAUCGGUUCAACCCUAAUUAUGGCGUUAUUUUUUUUCUUUGAUAUUUCAACUCCGCUACUAAAAAGUAUAUAUUAUAUAUUAAGUUUAUAUAUUACUUUAUACUAUAUGUGAUUAUAUGUAUGUUAUUUAUAUUCAUGUGAAAUUACAGCUGUUUUUUUAUUUUCUUCUUUUCUUGAUUUUAUUCUGGUGACAUAACUUUUUCCACAACCUAAUUUUUUUUUUUAAACGUAAACUUUAUUUGUUGUUUUGUUUGUCUCUUCUAAUAUUAUAAUUGGGAAAAGUCUUUUUUAUUCAUAUUUCAAUUUUAUGCUUCUAAAAUUAGUCUAGGCAUGUCCAAUAUUGUCUUUUUGCCGAUAACCGAUAUACCGAUAUUGUCCAACUCUCAAUUUCCGAUUCCGAUAUCAACCAAUACUGAUACAACAUCACAUAGAGGCAUAAUUUUAAUGAGUAGAAUUGUGGUAAAGCAGUUUUUCUCAAGUAUUUCUUUUAUUUUCUGUCAUGCUUGUCAUUCCAUCAAGGCACAGAAUUUUUUUUGUGCCACUCUGAUUUGAAAUACGAGAGAAACUGAUCAUAUUUAUUCAUUUAUCUGUACUGUACAGACUGAACUGGAAACCGAAUCCAGGAAAAUACAGCAAAACAUAUUCAGGAGUCAAAUUGCAUGUUGAGUACUAUAAAAUUGUACAUGUUGGUAGGUCUGUAGGUCUGUGUCCUCUCCUAUCUGAACCCCGCCCAGAUGACUGAGCUCCUUAGUCUAUUUCUACCCAAACUCAAUUCAGUUGCUUGUAUCCACGGUUAGUUAUUUGGGCCACUCUUAUGCCAAGGUAGCACUGUAUAUGACAAUAAAAACAAUACCUGCACUGCUCCAGUCUCUGGCAGGCCACGUAAUCCAGGAUAAGUCAAACACAGCGACAGUAGAUACAAAUAACUUUGGUCUUGCUACAAGAGCCAUCUACCAGGGCUUUGAAACUAACGUUACCAAUCUAAAUACUCUUUUCUUUCUCCAUUUCCCAUCAAUAUUUGUUCCAGCUUUGAGUUACCGUCCUUUGACCAAACUACGUUGGGGGCCGAGGGUCAAACAGCAGGAGUGCACAUUAAUCAUGGCGUCAUUAAUGCGUUAACUUUGACAACCCUAGUUAACAUACGACAGGAGAUAUGUGAUGUUACUUAUAUGAGAAUCUGAAAUUAAGAGUUGGACAAUGCUGGCAUGGUCCUGCCAACAUGGUGUCCCUUGUUUAAUUUCCCAGGAUUUGCGAACUCCUCAGUAAGAAACGUAGCUAUUAGCUGUCCCAGAAAUCCACCCGCCGGUAUGCAUGAUUCAUGUAUGCGUGGAGCUCCACUAUGCUGUGGGCUUUCACUUUGUGCUUUCACUGUUAAGUCCUCAAAUACCAGAAAACUCUGCAAGAAAGCCAGAAAAAGUUCAAAUUUGUCGCUAGUCGCUUGUGAGAAAAUAUGUCACAAAGCGUGAUUGGAAUGUCACCAGACAAAGUUGCCAGGUUGAGGUUUUUUGUUUAACACCGAGUUCUGCUGACAUCAAUGCCACCCCAACGUCCUUAUACGUAUUGGCGGCACUCAGUAAACGCAGACCAACGUUUCCAGAAGUCCUCUGUAGCGCUUGGGAAUGUGACCAAUCAUUACACAGACCAUUUGGAUGGGAGGCAGGAAAUCCAAGGAAACACUGCCGGAAGACGUGCAGAGAUCUAGACCCGUUUUGGGAUUUGUGUGUAGCUGCUUUAUAGGAGUCCAUAAAUCAAUACAAGGACAUGGGAAUGAGUAUAAUAUGCUAAUGGUAAUGGUUUUAUUUCAUUUGAACAUGCAUCAGAUUACAAUUGAGUGCAGGUCCAACGUAGUCCUCCCUGAGAUCAUAUGUCUCCUCUCUUGUAUUGGAUGACAUUUUUAGCUAAUUGCUUAUUUUUAUUAUUUGAGCUGUUUGAAGAUGAACUAUAUCAGCAAGUUGAAGUAUUUGCGAUUUUACAAAUAAGGAGUUAGUAUGUUCUCUAUAGGCGCCAUUAUGAAUUAUCCUUACUGGCCUUUUUUGCAGUACAUUUAGCCAGUGAAGAUUGCUUUUAUAGUUAUUAGCCCAUAUUUCCAGACAAUAAGUAAGAUAUGGUAGAACCAGAGAGCAAUAAUAAUAAUAAUAAGUCACUUUUAAAGUAAUAAUAUGGGAAACUAGGAAAUGUGGGGGCGCUGGGAAAAAGGGGGAAAAGUGGGAGUAUCCCAAAGGAAAUAUUAAUGUCGGCAAGUAUGGUGUACUGUUGUGUACAGUGUAUGGUGUACUGUUGCAGCGCAACAACUUCCUGUAGUAGAGUGCACAAUGCAAUAUACUCGGGAUCACAUGGAUCUCAGGCUCCCAGGUAGUCGUGACCCCAGGGACGAGGGUUUCUUCGGAGUGACAAACAGAGCCGUACUCAUCCUCCUAAUUGUUCGGAAUGUCCUCGUUGAGACAAGAAAGAAAUCCUUUCACAUGCUCCCUAAUCAGAGUCAUGCAGCUUGCACUUAAUUCAGGAGGACACUUGUUGAACAACGGCCUUGUCCCCCCCCCACACACACACACACAACUGUCCGCAGAAACAAACCUGCCAGACCACCACAGUCUGUGUCUCCAUGACACUUCCUUUCCCAUUGUUUGGAAGUGUUGCCAACCUGUGAAAGCAUUCAAAGCAAAAGUUCCAAAUAUAUCAGAAUAAGUGGACCCGAAUAAUGGACCCGAAGUGCAAGUAACAGUUGUUGGGGCCAGAAGCAAAAGUUCAUAGAGGGUCCCUCAAACCAGCGGUCAUCAGCAUGACGCAUCGCGUUUGGAAUCCUCCAACUGGGCUGUCGGUGCCUUGCCUCGUGGCACACGGCACCCCUAACCACCAUGCGUACUUUUUCAUGAGAAGUCGUUGGCAACCGAGCAUCAACUGCGUUUCUCGUUUGCCGAAAUUUGCCAAGUCAGUUGCGCUCCUUGUCAUUCCGUACGUAGAAUUCUGAAGCAAUUCUGGUCUUAAAUCCAACCGGGGGCCAGCGGCUGACGUCUGCGCUCCCUGUUGGGCUGCAAGGUAUUACUGUAAGUCUCUGGGUCUUGUUGGCACAAGCCAAAUGUACUGUAGUACAAUAUGAGUGUUGGCAGGUGGGCCGCCCAAGCAUUAAAGACACAUGUUGGAUAAUAAUGGCCUGUGAUUGCUUCCACAAGGAGCUCUUCCAAUAGUGCUGACAACUGGCUGACAUUUUUUGAAGCGGGCUUUUUAUUCUACAAUGAAUGUGUUUUUUUUCUUGCUUCAGUUGCACUCGGAUUUGAAGAUGAUAUUUGUGGAACCCCCUGUGGGUUGUGCUAUAGAAAAGGAAAACGCUGCUCUACUUGCGAUACAAAAUGUUACAAUCAUUAGACAAAUGGUUAAUGACUCAUGGGAAAUUUGUUGCUAAGUCUUGUUACUUGUUAACCCUGCUGCUUUUUGUGUUUUUUCCGUAUGUUAACUUUUAACAAAUUGCUGGUGAUGCCAGAGGAGUACAGCUGUUGGGCCGCUCAGCAACAAUCAGGCAACAUCAACCAUUUAUAAUGUGAAUGUUGACUUUUGGGACUAAGUCCUGUCCAAAGUGGCCAUGCUUUACUACCAAUCUUGCUCAAAAUGUACCAUUAUAUUAAUACACAGAUACCUUGACGUACAAAAAGAAUUCAUUCCGGAGCGGCUUUCCUAUCUUGGAUUUUUCGUAUGAUGAAAUGUACCCUAUAAAUGCCGUAAUUUGUUCUAGCCCAGGGGUCAGCAACCCCUGGCUCCAGAGCCGCAUGUGGCUCUUCAGCCACUUUGUUGUGGCUCCCUUCACAACGCUCAAGUAUUUUUUUUAAAUACCCUAAUGGGAAAAAAUAUGCAUUUUUUAAUGAGUUUUUUUUUUUAAUCUGACUUUCUGUGAGACCCUGAAUGAAUUGAAGUGAAUGAGUUCUGACUCGUGAUUGGAUGAGCUCAAAGAGCUCACAUGUGACGAGAAGCAACAAUUUGGUGUAAAAAUUUGGCGUUAAAACUGAUUCAAACUUUCAAAAGUUUAUAAGAUAUUGUUUUUAAAUGAUGUUUUGCGGCUCCUAUCUGUUUUCCUUUAGUAAGCGUGUGGGUAAAAUGGCUCUUUUGAUAAUAAAGGUUGCCGACCCCUGUUCUAGCCCAACAGUCAUAUUUAGUACAAAGUCAGAAAUCAUACAUGAGUUGACAUAACUUCACUUUUAUACUUUUAAUUGGCUUCACUUUUUAAAGACACGUGUACUUUAAAUUCCCUCGAAAUUCACAGCGCAAAAACUCAAGACAAGGAAUGAGAGCUUUAGGUACGCUACUACUACUCUGCACUGCGCCGUGACGUAGCAUUGCUGAGGAUUCUGGGAGAUAACCACCAUAGCCAAUGGGAGAGCACAACAAAGCCUUCAUGUGAUACCAAUUGAAUUCUGGGAGGAGAUGCACUUUUGUAUUUUAAUGUUUUUUCGUGAAUUCUGACAUUUUUUUGUGUAACAAGGUGGCUGUACGGCGGACGAGUGGUCACACAGCUCGGAAACCCAAGUUCGAUCCCACCCUCGGCCAUCUCUGUGUGGAGUUUGCAUGUUCUCCCCGUGCAUGCGUGGCUUUUCUCCGGGUACUCCGGUUUCCUCCCACAUUCCAAAUGUCCACUCCAAAUUGUCCAUAGGUAUGAAUGUGAGUGUGAAUGGUUGUUUGUCUAUAUGUGCCCUGGGAUUGGCUGGCCACCAGUCCAGGGUGUACCCCGCCUCUGAUUGCUGUUUUGUGGUAGACUUUUGUGGGUUCUAUUAUUAGUCAAACAUAUGAAAUAUACAUAUACUGUACAUAUACAUUAUCAUAUGUAGUAUUGUGGUCACUCGGUGGCAAUAAUGAUACAAAACAUUGAGACAAUAGCUCACACAUGGUAGUGUGAAAAUAAGUUCUCCUCACCUUCCGUGUGGAAGUGGUAUGUUUUUGGCUUCUUAAAGUGGGGACUGCACUUUUUUGGAAUUUUGUCCAUCAUUCCCAAUCCUAAUGUGAAACAUGAACACAUUUUGCUUUUCCCUUUUCUGGGCACCCCCGCGACCCUCGUGAGGCUAAGCGGUAAAAAUGAAUGAAUGAAUGAGGUUUUUGUAAGUGGAGGUUUUACUGAAUAGAUAAAAAUAUAUGGUUGAUAUUGGCAUAAAAUUUAAAAUGAGUAAAUAUCAGUAUCAAAACCGCAGUUAAAAAAACCUGCAACAGGUGAUAUGUGAUGUUACAGGUAUCGCUAAUUGGUAUUGGUUGAUAGCCGAAUCAGAAAUUGUUUAGUUAGACAAUAAUAGCAUAUCGGAUAAAGCUAAUAUUUGUUCUCUAUAUUCUUCCCCUCUCCUUCUGUUGUUCCCUUUCCUCUUUUAUCGCCCAGUCAUCCUGUCCUGUCUACCCCCCCCCCCCCCCACACACACACACAUAUUUGGACGGGUGAUUGGACAAUUUUUCUUGUACCUCUGUAUAAAUUAUUGUUACACAUGAAUUUGUUAGCCUGCUAAAAGUAUGUAGCAAAUGGUGUGGUGAUUUGACUAAAUAAAUAAAUUAUGUGUGAGAAAUUUCAAGUCAGAAAAAUAAUAUCACAGACAGGUGAUCAAACAAUACAGUGCAGCAUUCCCUUGUUUAUCGCAGUUAAUUGCUUUGAUACGCGAAUUUACAGCAAAGUAAUCUGUUUAUGACCUUCUAAACAGUAGUAGAGCUCUCCGGGCAUGAUAUAACUCCCCUACAGUAACGUUUACACUCCUAUUACCCAAUUUAGUGGGCAUAAUAGAUGAAAAUAAGACAAUUAAGAAAUAAAUGAGACUUUUAAGACGGGUUUUAGCUCGUCAUGCAUGAGUUUAUGGGUUACAGGCCCCCACAAAAACUGCUAAUUUGUGUGAAUGCUGAACAUUUCCACUCAUUUCAUAGUUAUUUUAUAAUAAUUUCUUUGACUAAAAGAACCAUCUUAUGGGCAUUAGCAAAUACGUCCUUCACGGUUUCCAAAGGUUGGGUUUUGUCUGCCCACAAAAGGAGUGUGUUUGAUGCCGCUGGAAAUAGCAUAGCGACUCACAUGGCAAACACAAGGCAGAGCAUGGCUGACCAUUAAAACAGCAAAAUGAGCGUCAUUCCGUAAAGCGGCAGGCCUGGACAAUUAGGAUGCGGCGCUCCAGUCCGGCUUGGCGGGCCGGGCCAAGGCCUACGAUAGCGCGUGAUUGAGGCUGAAAGGUAGCAGCAAUGGUGGAGGGUCAAGGACAAAGAAUCCACUCACCAGCCCUCCUUUGCUUUACGCCUCAAACUCACGCGCACGGCCCUUCCAUUGCUUAUUGAAUUACGCUUAAUCACUCAAUUAAAGUCACAUGGAGACGCAUCAUCCCUUUUCUCAACCCCACUACUGGACGCCCAAUAACGGCUGCAGUGUUGCUGCUCGUGGGAACA